rnacentral:rRNA from 1 species
AGUGAACGCUAGCGGCAGGCUUAAUACAUGCAAGUUGAGGGGCAGCAUGAUAUACGCGAGUAUAUUGAUGGCGACCGGCGGACGGGUGAGUAAUAGGUAGGAGACCUACCUCAUACAGGGGGAUAGCAUAGAGAAAUCUGUGGUAAUACCCCCAUGAGGUUAUAUGAAUAGAGGCAUAUAAUCAAAGCAUAAGCGAUUAUGCGGUAUGAGAGGGGCCUACUGACCAUUAGCUAGUUGGUGAGGUAAGGGCUCACCAAGGCGAAGAUGGUUAGGGGUUUGAGAGAGAGACCCCCCACAUUGGAACUGAGAGACGGUCCAGACUCCUACGGGAGGCAGCAGUAGGGAAUAUUGGGCAAUGGGCGAAAGCCUGACCCAGCCAUGCCGCGUGAAGGAAGACGGCCUUAUGGGUUGUAAACUUCUUUACUACGCGAAUAGAGGUUAGUACGAGAUACUAAUAGGAAGGUAGUGUAGUAAAAAGCACCGGCUAACUCCGUG